rnacentral:ribozyme from 14 species
AAGGGCAGGUCAUGAUGUUGGUUGUUUAUUACUUCUCUCUUUUGUUUUUUUUUGUUUUUUUGUUUGUUUUUAAAUCCUCCCUUUCUUCU